GCCGUUUUGCAUUCAGUCAGAUCUUGCUAUCCACACAAACAUCAUGUAGCCAAAAAUUGAGCUGGGGUCAUAGUACUGGUCUAGUGUUCUCAUGGGGCAUAAUUUACCAUUGGCCAGCCUCCAAAUUCUCACGCAGGG